GCCUGGUCAGGAGUUGGUUUGAUCUUCCCUGACACGGAAGAGGUCACUGGUUCAAUCCCAGUAUCGCGCACCA
rnacentral:tRNA from 1 species